rnacentral:tRNA from 1 species
GCUAUGAUGGCCGAGUGGUUAAGGCGUUGGACUUGAAAUCCAAUGGGGACUCCCCGCGCAGGUCGAACUCUGCUCGCAGCA